CUAUUGUUUAAAGACAAAGUAAACAAAAACAGCCUCUGAAUGUUAGGUAGGUCCUUUUGAAAAGUUACACGAGUAGUCACUACACUAAAAGCUCCAGUUAGGUAAAUUUCAUGAACGUAAUUCAAUUCACAACUGCGGUUCAAGGGAUCAUCAAAGUAGUCAUGAAAACCAACUAUUACUAUGGUUCUAAAACUCGAUAUCGUUAUACGGAAUACCAAGAUAUGGGGAGAUAACUGUAUGUCAAUCUUCUUUUACGGAAAAACGGUAACAACGAUCACGCUAAAAAUGUGUUGAAUAACGAUGUCGGGUCCCACUUCCAGCUGCCUCAAGUGACGAUGUGACGUCAUCGAUCGAUCAUUGUUCAGUGCGCCGUUUGUACAUACCUUAUACAUGGGGCCCGCGGUAAAUCUGCGGUUGUGCUAAAUCAAUAAUGAAGGGGCCGUCGUCGAUGCAUUAGACAUUGGACAUCAAUUGCACCGGGCUAUAUGGGCCGUCAAUGACCGAAUCGGUUGAUUCAUGCGACGUCGGUGAAACUACAGGCUUAUCAGUGCGUAAAAUAGUUUGCACAAAAAUGCAGUCAAUCAUGUGUUGCUACGAAAUUGAAUGAAUUAUGUUGAAAUAUUUGAACUGAAUAAAAGGUGCAUUUUAAAAGAA